rnacentral:misc_RNA from 1 species
CAUGGGAUUCCUGUGACUGUCCUGGAGGAGAUGAAGGAUGGGGUUCAUACGUUUUACGAGCAAGAUAUUGAGGUGAAACAGGAGUUUUACUCUCGUGAUCUCACGAAAAAGGUUGUGUACAAUAGCAACUUUGAUCUGUACAAUUCCCCAUCAGCUAAUUGGAGAGAUACUAUUGUUUUUCAAAUGGCACCUGAUCCUCC